rnacentral:rRNA from 1 species
GUGGGGAAUAUUGGGCAAUGGGCGCAAGCCUGACCCAGCAACGCCGCGUGAAGGAUGAAGGUUUUCGGAUUGUAAACUUCUUUUAAGAGGGACGAUAAUGACGGUACCUCUUGAAUAAGCCCCGGCUAACUACGUGCCAGCAGCCGCGGUAAUACGUAGGGGGCAAGCGUUAUCCGGAUUUACUGGGUGUAAAGGGCGUGUAGGCGGGAUUUCAAGUCAGAUGUGAAAACCGAAGGCUCAACCUUCGGCCUGCAUUUGAAACUGAAGUUCUUGAGUGCUGGAGAGGCUAACGGAAUUCCUAGUGUAGCGGUGAAAUGCGUAGAUAUUAGGAAGAACACCAGUGGCGAAGGCGGUUAGCUGGACAGUAACUGACGCUGAGGCGCGAAAGCGUGGGGAGCAAACAGGAUUAGAAACCCUAGUAGUCC